GAUGAACGCUAGCGGCAGGCUUAACACAUGCAAGUCGAGGGGUAUGGUUCUUCGGAACCAGAGACCGGCGCACGGGUGCGUAACGCGUAUGCAAUCUACCUUUUACAGAGGGAUAGCCCAGAGAAAUUUGGAUUAAUACCUCAUAGUAUGCAGAGUUGGCACCAACACUGCAUUAAAGUCACAACGGUAAAAGAUGAGCAUGCGUCCCAUUAGCUAGUUGGUAAGGUAACGGCUUGCCAAGGCUACGAUGGGUAGGGGUCCUGAGAGGGAGAUCCCCCACACUGGUACUGAGACACGGACCAGACUCCUACGGGAGGCAGCAGUGAGGAAUAUUGGACAAUGGGCGCAAGCCUGAUCCAGCCAUGCCGCGUGCAGGAUGACGGUCCUAUGGAUUGUAAACUGCUUUUAUACGAGAAGAAACACUCCUUCGUGAAGGAGCUUGACGGUAUCGUAAGAAUAAGGAUCGGCUAACUCCGUGCCAGCAGCCGCGGUAAUACGGAGGAUCCAAGCGUUAUCCGGAAUCAUUGGGUUUAAAGGGUCCGUAGGCGGUUUAGUAAGUCAGUGGUGAAAGCCCAUCGCUCAACGGUGGAACGGCCAUUGAUACUGCUGAACUUGAAUUAUUAGGAAGUAACUAGAAUAUGUAGUGUAGCGGUGAAAUGCUUAGAGAUUACAUGGAAUACCAAUUGCGAAGGCAGGUUACUACUAAUGGAUUGACGCUGAUGGACGAAAGCGUGGG
rnacentral:rRNA from 1 species